rnacentral:rRNA from 1 species
CCCUUAGAUGUUCUGGGCCGCACGCGCGCUACAAUGAUGAAUUCAACGAGUUUAUAACCUUGGUUGAAAAGCCUGGGUAAUCUUUUGAACUUUCGUCGUGAUGGGGCUAGACCCUUGCAAUUAUUGGUCUCCAACGAGGAAUUCCUAGUAAACGCAAGUCAUCAGCUUGCAUUGAUUACGUCCCUGCCCUUUGUACACACCGCCCGUCGCACCUACCGAUUGAACGUUUUAGUGAGGCAUUUGGACCGACGCAUCUCAGUUUAACCGCUGGUUUGUGUUGGAAAGACUUCCAAACUUGAGCGUUUAGAGGAAGUAAAAGUCGUAACA